AAAGACCACUGUACGUAUUAGUGGUCUUUACCCUCAGGUCUUUAUUCUGAGAUAGAGUUCUUAAAAUCCUUACAGUAGGGGUGCUGGAGGAAUCAUUUGUUCUGUACUUGUUGUUUAACCCUGGUUUCUGAUACAGCUCCUUUGUAAAGUCCUGUGUGACAGGAGCGUCUUUUGUUCUAACAGGGUGGCUCUCAGUGGGCUCCUGGAUGCCUUAGGAUGGAGGCUGGUUUCCCGGGAAACCACCUGUGUGAUGAGGGGAUUGGAACUUUCAGCCCUACUUUCUAACCUCUAGGAAGAGGACAGAAACUAAAGGUUGAGAUGAUCAUCAAUGGACAACAAUUUAAUCAAUUAUGACUGCAUAAUGAAGCCUCCAUAAAAUCCUGAAAGGCUGAGUUCAGAAGGCUUCCAGACUGCUGAAUAGGUAGAGAUGUCUGGAGAGGGCAUGGAAGCUCUGCUUCUCCCCACAUCUCCUGCCCUUUUCAUCUCCUCUAUCUGGCUGGGACCUGAAUCCUUUGCAAUUUCCUUUAUGAUAAAUGGGAAAAUAAAACUUGGAAUGUCUGUGACUGUACAGUUCUUGAUUCAGAGGAACACUAGUAAUUGCUGAAGUGCACAAAUAUUCAUUAAAAGGUAAAAAUAGAUUACAAGAAUCAGUAAACUCCUUUGACUUUGGAACUAGGAAACAUUCAUAACCAGAAUUCCAUUUAUAAAAAAAGUCUGACAAGUGCUUUGGAAACAGGCUAAAUUGCAGAAAUGCUGAGAGAAGAUGAAACCUCUUGGAUCACGAACAGACUAAACAGAGUGCAAUGUCCACAUGCAGUGGGAAUGUUCUUUGAGACAGAACCAGAGACUUGUCCCCGUUCAUGUGGACAAGUGACAGGAGCCGCAUGAACCUCCUGUGCCACUGCUGAUAUACUGCUGAUAUGGAUGUGUUAGCAGAUAUCAUAAAUGAAGAGUUUUAUAAGUGCAAUAUUAAAUUUUUGCAAGAGUGGCUUGAGAUUAGUCCUUCCAUACAUCGUUUUCUGAAUAAACUAUUCUAGUAAAGUGCAAUUUGGUGAGGACUGAACUCUGAUUUUUUUUCUUACUCAGAUUCCUUUCUAAGGGGCCUGGGGAGUCACGCCUUACAUAACAUAAAAUCUCAUUAAACAGGUUUGUUGUUAUUGUUGAUGUUUGUUUUUUGACUUGGAAUAUUAUGGACAACUCCAACCUGACUCUGCUAUGGCA
rnacentral:lncRNA from 1 species